rnacentral:lncRNA from 1 species
ACAGUCGCAGCUUUACCGUCUGUUGCAGUCCCUAUCGAACUCUUAACCACUGGCUUUGUAGCACAUGUCGCUACAUUCUCUGUCGCACCAGCAUAUACAAAAACACAUCCACCUUUAGAAGAUUCUCCUUUGAAUCCAAGACCACACCGAUCACUCUGCCCAAUGCUGAGAAGAUGAUCCAACUGAUCCGUACCAUUAUUAAGCAUCCUCAAACCUUUCUGAGUUUCUUCAAGUUGAACUAUAGCUUGGGUUGCUUUUUCUUCUUUCUCUGAAGCAUGUUUCAAUGCUUCACUAAUCAAAGCUUCUAGCUUGAUUUCUCCUUAGCCAACACAGAAUUCUCCUCAACCAUCGUGAGCCAAUAUGCAUACAAUGUCUUGUAGUUCUUAGCAAGAUCUACAUCAUCAAAACUUCCAGCAUCAUCAUCACUUCCAACAACAUCAUCACCCCUACGUGUAGACUCUAACACAGACGAUGACACAGAUCCCGCCGCAGAUUUCUUAUCAGAACUAAGAUCCAAAGUUGUGAACGCCACAAAAUUCCUCAAAUUCUCACCACGAUCUGAAUCAGUAUCAGAAUCACUCUUGUUGUUCCUCUUCUUCUCAUGCCUCUGCAAAUUUGGACAUAUUAACCAAACAUGUCCAACCCCAUUGUACUCAUAGCAUCGUAACUUUGAUGGUGAUCUUCUUAAAUCACCUCUUUUUCCAUUUUUCCUUUUGCCUCGCUGAUGCUACAGAUACUCAACCAUGUUUCUUGACAGCAUCGCCAUAGGAUCUUCAGAAGAUGAAACUUUCAAAGCAACACUAUAAGGAUCUUCUUUCUUCUUAUCCUUAUCUUUCUCUACAUAUGACUUGCUCAACUCAAAAGCUUACGGAAUCCUAACAAACUCAUCAAA